UCCAAAGAAAUGCUUUCUAUGGGAACACAGAGCUGACAUUUUCACAAUUAAAUUAUUAUAUUUCUCACAUAUAUAUAUAUACGUAUAUAUUGUCAUAAUUGGUUUAUGGAGCACGUCAAGUGCUGGCUGGACAGUCGUAAAAGCGAAAGCUUUUCCGAAUUUCCAAAACCCAAAAGCAAAAUAAAAAUAUAUGUAAAGUCUGUUGAGCCAAAUCUAAUUAUAAAACUCCAACACUUUGGAUACGCUUGCUAGGCCUCAUCUUGAGCUACAAAUUCGAAACAAUUGUGUUGGCAUUUUCACUCAUGUUGAGAGGGAAAAAAAAUAAAUAACGAAAUGCAGAACACACUCGAGUGACUUUUUUUUAACCCAAGUACAAGCUGAAGAUCAGGCAAAGAAACCAGUUCUGGGUUGGGUUUGGAUGGCUCGGAUAGCUUGGCUGGCUUGGAUGGCUUGGAUGGCUGGCUGGGCAGGGUUAUUGCUCGUGCCAGCGAGUCAUAUACAUACGUAGUAUUUAUAUUGCCACUAUGUAUAAUCAAAGCUUAGAGAAACCUGUGUAAAAAUAGUCUUUGCGUUGGCUACCUGGGAUGCCAAGCUGUGCGAUCAGCGAGAAGCGAGCGCCGAGUGGCAGCAACAAAAAUAUACAUGCUUAAAGAUAAUAUUGAAAGCCCUGCAAUAUUAAGCAGCUCAAAAGCUAUAAAGGCGGGCUGUUUUUAAUGAAACGGUUUUAAGCGAUAACAGGUGCAAAAGGCGAGCCAA